rnacentral:tRNA from 1 species
AGUUAGAAAGCGAACAAUCGCAUUUAGUUUCGACCUAAACCUUGGUGGUGCCACCUCUAUCUA